rnacentral:rRNA from 1 species
AAAUGAAUAGACGGGGGCCCGCACAAGCGGUGGAGCAUGUGGUUUAAUUCGAUGAUACGCGAGGAACCUUACCAGGGCUUAAAUGCAGUGCGACGGAUCUGGAAACAGGUCUUUCUUCGGACGCACUGCAAGGUGCUGCAUGGUUGUCGUCAGCUCGUGCCGUGAGGUGUCAGGUUAAGUCCUAUAACGAGCGCAACCCCUGCCGUUAGUUGCCAGCAUGUCAUGAUGGGGACUCUAACGGGACUGCCGGUGCAAACCGCGAGGAAGGUGGGGAUGACGUCAAAUCAUCACGGCCCUUACGUCCUGGGCCACACACGUGCUACAAUGGCCGGUACAGCGAGCAGCCACGCCGCAAGGCGGAGCGAAUCUAUAAAGCCGGUCACAGUUCGGAUCGGGGCCUGCAACUCGGCCCCGUGAAGCUGGAAUCGCUAGUAAUCGGAUAUCAGCCAUGAUCCGGUGAAUACGUUCCCGGGCCUUGUACACACCGCCCGU